CUUUCUUUCAGAGGCAGAUGGAUUAACUCUGUGGCAGAGCGCCUCCAUACCGGCUGAGGGGGUUCCUGCAGGAAGUGUGACCACUUCCAGCAGCAGCA